rnacentral:rRNA from 1 species
UACGUAGGGGGCAAGCGUUGUCCGGAAUCAUUGGCGUAAAGCGCGUGUAGGCGGUUACGUAAGUCUGCUGUGAAAGUCGGAGGCUCAACCUUCGAAAGCCGGUGGAUGACUGCGUGACUAGAGUACGGGAAGAGGAGAGUGGAAUUCCUGGUGGUAGCGGUGGAAAUGCGUAGAGAUCCGGAAGAACACCGGUGGCGAAGGCGGUUAGCUGGGACAGUUGCUGGACAGCUGGA